GUGGGGAAUAUUGGACAAUGGGCGAAAGCCUGAUCCAGCCAUGCCGCGUGUGUGAAGAAGGUCUUCGGAUUGUAAAGCACUUUAAGUUGGGAGGAAGGGUAGUAACCUAAUACGUUGCUACUUUGACGUUACCGACAGAAUAAGCACCGGCUAACUUCGUGCCAGCAGCCGCGGUAAUACGAAGGGUGCAAGCGUUAAUCGGAAUUACUGGGCGUAAAGCGCGCGUAGGUGGUUCAGUAAGUUGGAAGUGAAAUCCCCGGGCUCAACCUGGGAACUGCUGUCAAAACUGCUGAGCUAGAGUACGGUAGAGGGUGGUGGAAUUUCCUGUGUAGCGGUGAAAUGCGUAGAUAUAGGAAGGAACACCAGUGGCGAAGGCGACCACCUGGACUGAUACUGACACUGAGGUGCAAAAGCGUGGGGAGCAAACAGGAUUAGAUACCCUGGUAGUCC
rnacentral:rRNA from 1 species